AUUCCAGCUCCAAUAGCGUAUAUUAAAGUUGUUGCAGUUAAAAAGCUCGUAGUUGGAUUUCUGGCAGGAGCGACCGGUCACACACUCUGUGUGUGAACUUGCGUUGUCUCUGGCCAUCCUCGGGGAGAUCCUGUUUGGCAUUAAGUUGUCGGGCAGGGGAUACCCGUCGUUUACUGUGAAAAAAUUAGAGUGUUUAAAGCAGGCUUAUGCCGUUGAAUAUAUUAGCAUGGAAUAAUAAGAUAGGACUUCGGAACUAUUUUGUUGGUUUGCGUUACGAAGUAAUGAUUAAUAGGGACAGUUGGGGGUAUUCGUAUUUCGUUGUCAGAGGUGAAAUUCUUGGAUUUCCGAAAGACGAACUACUGCGAAAGCAUUUACCAAGGAUGUUUUCAUCG
rnacentral:rRNA from 1 species